rnacentral:rRNA from 1 species
AUUGUCUUAGUAACGGCGAGUGAAGCGACAAAAGCUCAAAUUUGAAAUCUGGCACCUUCGGUGUCCGAGUUGUAAUUUGAAGAAGGUAACUUUGGAGUUGGCUCUUGUCUAUGUUCCUUGGAACAGGACGUCACAGAGGGUGAGAAUCCCGUGCGAUGAGAUGUCCAACUCUAUGUAAAGUGCUUUCGAAGAGUCGAGUUGUUUGGGAAUGCAGCUCUAAGUGGGUGGUAAAUUCCAUCUAAAGCUAAAUAUUGGCGAGAGACCGAUAGCGAACAAGUACAGUGAUGGAAAGAUGAAAAGAACUUUGAAAAGAGAGUGAAAAAGUACGUGAAAUUGUUGAAAGGGAAGGGUUUGAGAUCAGACUUGGUAUUUUGUAUGUCUUGCUUUCGGGUGGGGCCUCUGCAGUUUACUGGGCCAGCAUCGGUUUGGACGGUAGGAUAAUGACAUUGGAAUGUGGCACUACUUCGGUGGUGUGUUAUAGACUUUGUUGAUACUGCCUGUCUAGACCGAGGACUGCGUCUUUGACUAGGAUGCUGGCAUAAUGAUCCUAAACCGCCCGUCUG